AUUGAACGCUGGCGGCAGGCCUAACACAUGCAAGUCGAGCGGUAACAGGAAUCAGCUUGCUGAUUCGCUGACGAGCGGCGGACGGGUGAGUAAUGUCUGGGAAACUGCCUGAUGGAGGGGGAUAACUACUGGAAACGGUAGCUAAUACCGCAUAACGUCUUCGGACCAAAGUGGGGGACCUUCGGGCCUCAUGCCAUCAGAUGUGCCCAGAUGGGAUUAGCUAGUAGGUGGGUUAACGGCUCACCUAGGCGACGAUCCCUAGAUGGUCUGAGAGGAUGACCCGCCACACUGGAACUGAGACACGGUCCAGACUCCUACGGGAGGCAGCAGUGGGGAAUAUUGUACAAUGGGCGCAAGCCUGAUGCAGCCAUGCCGCGUGUAUGAAGAAGGCCAUCGGGUUGUAAAGUACUUUCAGCGGGGAGGAAGGUGUUGUGGUUAAUAACCAGAGCAAUUGACGUUACCCGCAGAAGAAGCACCGGCUAACUCCGUGCCAGCAGCCGCCGUAACAC
rnacentral:rRNA from 1 species